UACGUAGGGUGCAAGCGUUGUCCGGAAUUCUUGGGCGUAAAGAGCUCGUAGGCGGUCUGUCGCGUCUGCUGUGAAAACCCGGGGCUCAACCCCGGGCUUGCAGUGGAUACGGGCAGACUAGAGUUCGGUAGGGGAGACUGGAAUUCCUGGUGUAGCGGUGAAAUGCGCAGAUAUCAGGAGGAACACCGGUGGCGAAGGCGGGUCUCUGGGCCGAUACUGACGCUGAGGAGCGAAAGCGUGGGGAGCGAACAGG
rnacentral:rRNA from 1 species